AAUAUUGCGCAAUGGAGGGAACUCUGACGCAGCGACGCCGCGUGAGCGAUGAAGGUCUGCGGAGUGUAAAGCACGUUAAGUUGGGAGGAAGGGCAGUAAGGUAAUACCUUGCUGUUUUGACGUGACCGACAGAAUAAGCACCGGCUCACUUCGUGCCAGCAGCCGCGGUAAUCCGAAGGGUGCAAGCGUUAAUCGGAAUUACUGGGCGUAAAGCGCGCGUAGGUGGUUUGUUAAGUUGGAAGUGAAAGCCCCGGGCUCAACCUGGGAACUGCUUUCAAAACUGGCAAGCUAGAGUACGGUAGAGGGUAGUGGAAUUUCCUGUGUAGCGGUGAAAUGCGUAGAUAUAGGAAGGAACAUCAGUGGCGAAGGCGACUACCUGGACUGAUACUGACACUGAGGUGCGAAAGCGUGGGGAGCAAAC
rnacentral:rRNA from 1 species